GGGGGCGCGCUCCUCGGGGCCCGGCGCAGUUUUGUUUCGAAAAAGAAAAUCUUAAUUAUCUGAUGGCAACAUUUCUGCAAGACAGAAUGAGUCAGACCAGCCCGGUUCGGCUUCUUCCCACUGUGCCAGAACCAACCGUUACCCUUCCGAGCCUCGGCUUCCUCUCCGGUGACAAUGGGGGUGAGCACCGUACCCCAACAAGGAGGGGGACAUCAUCACAUCUUCAGGUGUUUAACCGUCGGGGGUUCAUCCGCUGGCGUGGAACAUCCCCAGUGCGUGGAGCACUGAUAGGACCUGGCUGCGUGCUCCUUCCUUCCUGAGCCUGGAUGGUAGGAGCUUGGGCAGCUGUCCAGGACCAUGAAGCAAUCUUGAACACUGGAAGCCAAUUAGGAUGGUGUAGUGAAAGCAUCUUCCCUCCACCCAAAGCCAAGUGUCCCCAUGAACCCAGCCUGAGGAGCAUGCAGGACGCAGGCUGAGUGUUGUGAGGGCCCGCGGAAUAGCAGACACCACUGUCACCAGGGGAAUCCCACGUGCUGAGAGGUCACUUCCUGGAGAAGAUGAAGGCCAGACCUGUCUUUAGGCGAGGCCGAAUUCCUUACAGCACAAAAGCCAUGAACACAAGAUGAGAAAACCUUCAUAGAAAUGUUAGAACUGUCUCCAGUGGUAUAGGUAAGAAGCCUCUCCAUCAUUCAUCUUACCCCAGGUAGAGCAUUUCUGGGCCACGCGCAAAAGGCGGCAAAGUAAGGAACCCUACAGCCCCUCUUCAGUUCCCUUGCCGUCUUGCUGAUCUGGAAGGGACAGAUAGCUGGCCAGCCAGAGGGGUGGGGGGUGCAAAAUGCAAGGGGGGGGAGGGAUUUGCUAGGUCCACAAUUUCAAAAUCCUGCAGAGAAGUGAUCAGACUCCCAGUAAGUGGAGACGCUUCUGCAUUUCUGCGUGGGGUGAAAAGUUGGUGGACCUUUUGUAUCUUUUGAAUUUUGUACUGUGUGCAUGCCUCCAUUAUCCAAGGCUAAUUAAAAGAAAAUAAGGACACAAAUGAAUUCUCAAGGAUAUAAGGCACUCCUUUCUGCACAGAGAAAUGGAUACUCUGUUUUAAAUUUCGAACUGUCGAGACAGUUUUGCCUGAGUGAAGGAAUGAGUUUUCUUUUGGAAAUUUCCUUUUUGAUUUUGAGAAAUAUUGGUCCAUUUACAAAUAAGUUCUGAAAUUUUUUCUAACGGGAAAAGAAACACGAGGUAUUUCAUUUUGAGAUAGCAGUCUGUCCAUUCCUCAGCAUCUGAAAAUUUCCAUUAGAAGACGUCAUUCAUCUUGCUAUUUUCCGUUUUAUUUACUGUUUAAAUCUAAGUUCUUUUGUUCUAGUGAGAAAGACAAGGAGAACCAAAGUAGUUAAAAAGAAAGCAGCAAAGAAAAAAAUCAUCAAAAAUGUAUUAGUUUAAAAAUUAUGGUACACACUACAGUGCGAUUCUGUCAUUAAAAAGAAUGUAUGUACUGAUGUGAAAGGACAUCCACGUGUUGUUUUGUUAGAAGCAAGUUGCAGUAAGUCAUGUAGAAUGAAUUCUUUGGUAAGAUACUAAUGCACAAAUGCACACACUGAAGAACUACGUAGAGGAAUAUGACCCAGAUUAGUAAGGGUGUAACGUGUUGUGAGCGCCUGGGUGGCUUAGUCGGGUAGGUGGCAGACUCUCGGUUUUCAGCUCAGGCCAUGAUCUCAGGGUCGUGGGAUCGAGCCCCACAUCCACUCCGUGCCCGCCCCCCCGCCCUGAGAGUCGGCUUGGGGUUAUCUCUCCCUCUCCCUUCGUCCCUCCCUGCUCUCUCUCCAAAAUAAAUAAAGUCUUAAAAAAAAAAGUGGGGGUGAUAUGUCAGAAGGACUGGGAGGAGGGGAUAGAUUAUGAGUGAUGUCCACUUUUUAGGUUGAUUUUUCUGCAAUAUAUGUUUUAUUUUGUACAGAUAAUUUAAGAGUUAUAAAAAGGGAGGGAUUUUAGAGAGUUAGGCAAGAGACCAAAGGGUUACAAGCCAAGAAACUGAGGCAUUCUCUCUCCUCAGACUUUUUCCCCCCAAAUUUAAAACUCUCGUGUUUUAUUCUAUGAUUAGCAGUCUUUGCAAGCCCCUCAGAUCCUUUGGGGCUGCCUACGAAAGUGGUAACACUGACACCAUCAAGGAGGUUGUAAACUGUGAGAGACUCUGACUUGCUCUGAGCUUAGGCGCGAGUACGUGGAAGAAAUGUGGACAGGACGUCCGGAUCCACUUGGCCAGGUGCCUUUGGGUAAAGAAGCAUCGGUGACGGACAGACUCUGAGCCCUGAACCCUUGCAGGAGGGAGGACCUCUGAGGCUCUGUGAGCUGAGCGACCCUGGCACCGCAUACGGAAUCGGAGGCUCCUGCGGUGGUGGUACGAGGGGUGUUGGCCGGGAAGGAGCUGAUGGAAACGGGGCCGGGUGAGACUCCGAGCCCCAUGCGCUUCUCCUCAGCUGUCUCCAGAGGGUGAAACAGAGCAGGAGAGGAAUGAGAGCCCCUGAAACAGACGACUGAGGAAGCACAGAGUGAUGGAUUAGUGCUGGUCCUUCCUCUUCUCAUUCAGGUCGAUGGAGGAGAGAUGAGUUGUUCGGUUAGUAGGUAUUAGAGUAGGCACUCAGAAGCUAUUGCAUACUGGGCACACAGUCCUCUGGAUCCUGCGAGCUACGGGCCCUUAUUUAUGAUCCCCGUUUUCUGGCUGGGGAAAUUGGUAAGGAUACUACCUUGGGUCACAGAGUCAGUGAAUGACCAGCCAGGACGGGAGUCCAGGCCGACUGGGUCCACAGUCUGAGCCCUGACCACUACACAAACGGUCUCUUCAUCUGACCCGGGGCUCUGCCAGACACUUUUUUUUUUUUCCCCAACCAGACACUGAAAUUGCUGGGUUUAGUUCUCCUGACCACACUCCCUGUAUAGGUUAUAACUUCGAGUGACCAGUACGAAGGGUCCUAGGUUGUAGAGCGAUCUAAGACCAGACACAGGACAUGAGAACUCAAGGCAUACUCAGUAAUACCAUCCCUGAAAAAUGCAAUUAUCUCCAGUCGCUUAAAUAUUAGUUUUUUUGAAUUGGUCAUUUGCUUCCCAACUUUUAACUGUGUUCUGUUUCCUGAGGAUCAGAUCUUUGGAGACAAUGGAGGAAAAGCUAAUCUGACCUGUUUUUUUUUUUUUUAAAGAUUUUAUUAAUU